rnacentral:rRNA from 1 species
AUUGAACGCUGGCGGCAUGCCUUACACAUGCCAGUCGAACGGCAGCACGGACUUCGGUCUGGUGGCGAGUGGCGAACGGGUGAGUAAUGUAUCGGAACGUACCUUUCAGUGGGGGAUAACGUAGCGAAAGUUACGCUAAUACCGCAUAUUCUGUGAGCAGGAAAGCAGGGGAUCGAAAGACCUUGCGCUGAUUGAGCGGCCGAUAUCAGAUUAGCUAGUUGGUGGGGUAAAGGCCUACCAAGGCGACGAUCUGUAGCGGGUCUGAGAGGAUGAUCCGCCACACUGGAACUGAGACACGGUCCAGACUCCUACGGGAGGCAGCAGUGGGGAAUUUUGGACAAUGGGGGCAACCCUGAUCCAGCCAUGCCGCGUGAGUGAAGAAGGCCUUCGGGUUGUAAAGCUCUUUCGGCCGGGAAGAAAUCGCAUAGGCUAAUACCCUGUGUGGAUGACGGUACCGGAAUAAGAAGCACCGGCUAACUACGUG